GCACACUUAGUGUGUUGUGAAAUAUGUUAUGAAUGUAUUGUAAUGUUUUUAAAUUGUAUAACUGCCUUAAUGUUGCUGGACCCCAGGAAGAGUAGCUGCUGUCUUGGCAAAUUAUUGAAUCAAAAAGUCUCCAAACCUUGCAAGAAUCUAUUUAUUCAGUUUGUUCAGACGGAUGGGAGGUAGUUUGAAUGCCCAGAAUCAAGAACUACGGGUUUCUUCGUCUUCCUCCUAGAGGCACCUGACAAACUGACGGGAAACUAGACAACAACGGUGUAAAGGCGGUAGCUGCCUCUGAGAAGGAAAGGAAGCCAGCAGGGGAGGAGAGUGAAGUGCCGUCCAGCGAACUCCCCAGCACCUCUUUUGGAAUAUUAAAACAUUUGUGGACAAUUACUCCUCUGAAAACUACGUCCCAGCAUUCCAAGCAUUGUUACAAUAUGGAGGUAAAUCUAUUUCUGUGGAAAGAAAAUCCUGGAAGCACAUCUACUGUGAGAGAAGACAAUGUCUGGGGAAACCUUGUCCUGCUUCCAGUAAAGCAGGGUUGAAGGUUGUUACUCAAACAUAAACUCCGAGAACAGCAAGGUUAACUUCAGUGACCAGAAAGGUAAGAAUCUUUAUUUUCUAAAUCUCUCCAUUCAUUUACACCUCACUAAAGUUAAGUUAUGAUCUAUAAUAUAAUGUCUAGAAUGCUAUAUAAUUGUCACGUCCUGGCCAGUAUAAGGUUAAUUGUUUUUGUAGUUUGGUCAGGACGUGGCAGAGGGUAUUUGUUUUAUGUGGUUCGGGGUGGUGUGUUUGUGUAAAGGGUGUUUGAUUUAGUAUUUCCGGGUUUUUGGUUGAUGGUCUAUGUGUUUGUAUUCUAUGGUUAGUCUGGUGUGUGUGUUUCUAUGUUUGGUUAAUUGGGGUUGGGACUCUCAGUUGAAGGCAGGUGUUGUCUAUCUGCCUUUGAUUGAGAGUCCCAUAUAUUAGGGUGUGUUUGUGUGUGUGAUUUGUGGGUGAUUAUUCUGUGUAUAGCCUUGUGCCUUACCAGACUGUUUUUUGUCGAUUGUUCGUUCUUUGUUAUUUUGUAUGUUCAUUUUUGAAGAUAAUUAAAAAUCAAGAUGAGCAUACACAUACCUGCUGCGUUUUGGUCCUCCAUUACCGACGACAAGCGUGACAAUAAUUGAAACAUUGAGUUAUUCAUUUAUUCUUUACAACAUGUUUUUUGUUUUUAAAUAUUCAUAAUUUUUAUUAGAAUGUUGAAAGGAAUUAAAAAAACAUUGUACAUUUAAAAACAUUCUUUUUUACCAGAAUAUUCAAAGUUAUUCAGAACUAAUACACUCCCCAGAAAUAUCUGUUAGAUACAACAGGUAGUAUUUGUAUUUAUUCUGGAUCCCCAUUAGUUCCUGUCAAGGCAGCAGCUACUCUUCCUGGGGUUCAACCAUGAUUACGCAAUUACAUACAAUAAAACAAUGUAUAACACAUCACAUUAUUACACACUACUGUACCAUGACAUAUCUACAAUAAAAAAUCUAAAAUACAGAAAAUAACAAUAUUGAAAUAUAUGUGUGCCAGUGUGUUUGUCUUUUUACAGUCCAUGCUGUUUGGUAAGGUGUAGAUUUAUCUGGUUUUAAAAUCUGAUUUUACUGCUUGACUGAGUUACAGGAUGUGGAAGAGAUUUCCAUGUAAUCAUGGCUCUGUGUAGUACUGUGUGUUUCGCGUAGUUUCUUCUGGACUUGGGUAUUGUGAAGAGACCUUUUGUGUCAUGUCUUGUGGGGUUUGUAUGGGUGUCUGAGCUGUGCGCUAGUCACUUAACCAGACAGCUUGGUUAUUAAUUAAGCUCUGUAAUUUCAAUAUAUCAAUAGCUCUCACAAAGACAAGCAGUGAUGCAGUCAAUCUCUCCUGUACUUUGAGCCUGGAGAGAUUGACAUGCAUAUUAUUAAUGUUGGCUCACAGCGUAAAUUUAAGGGCCAGACGUGCUGC
rnacentral:lncRNA from 8 species